UGGGGGAUAUUGCACAAUGGGCGAAAGCCUGAUGCAGCGACGCCGCGUGGGGGAUGAAGGCUUUCGGGUUGUAAACCUCUUUCGCUAUCGAACAAGGCCCGCUUAGGGUGGGUUGAGGGUAGGUGGAGAAGAAGCGCCGGCUAACUACGUGCCAGCAGCCGCGGUAAUACGUAGGGCGCGAGCGUUGUCCGGAAUUAUUGGGCGUAAAGGGCUUGUAGGCGGCUUGUUUCGUCUGCUGUGAAAACGCGGGGCUUAACUUCGCGCGUGCAGUGGGUACUGGCAGGCUUGAGUGUGGUAGGGGUGACUGGAAUUCCAGGUGUAGCGGUGGAAUGCGCAGAUAUCUGAAGGAACACCGAUGGCGAAGGCAGGUCACUGGGCCAUUACUGACGCUGAGGAGCGAAAGCAUGGGUAGCAAACAGG
rnacentral:rRNA from 1 species